rnacentral:lncRNA from 13 species
AUGUGUCCCUCACUCAGCCCUGAGUGUUCUGAACUGGGAAAUGGUAGCAGAAUUCCUGCCUCUCCCUCCCUCUUAGGCAUUAAGGAAGGUGGGGGAGACAGAAAAGCCAACUUGCAAGUCAUUCUUGGUGACAGAAGAUCGUGUCUGCUUCUUCCUGCAGCUUGGAAAUUACCGCUACACCUGAAGCCUGCAGGUGCUGAGGCCACAUUCUCUCAGACCCAAGCUUCGGGAGGCCCCUGGGGAAAUUUCCCACUUUGUGUCCUGAGACCAGGAAGUCAGCAGAGAAACUCUGUGGGAAAUGAACUGAAGGAUGCCACCCAGGGAGAGCAUCGUCUGAGAUCCCAUCAUGCAGGCCUUUCCACAAGCGCCUGGCAGCAUGACAAGGUGAAGGCAGAGUAUGUGUGUCUCAACCACCCACUCACCCUUGUGAGCAGAGAGCGCGCUUUGGCUGUGAAGGAGAAACACCAGCUCCAAGCCAAGCUGGAGAACCUGGAACAGGUCCUGAAGGUAGGCUGGCUUUCUGCAUUUGGGACUCACUGUUCGUGAGGUCGGAGUGAGGAAGGAGGGCUGCAGGGCCCCACAGCAGAAGGUGCUCAAAGCUCCCUUGGAAGCCGUCGUCAACAUUCAGGGCUGUUGGGGUGGCUCUUACCCUUUCUGUCGCAUAGAAAUCAAUAAAUAACAAAAUUCGAGUGUUUCUGGAAGCA